rnacentral:rRNA from 1 species
GACGAACGCUGGCGGCGUGCUUAUCACAUGCAAGUCGAACGGAAAGGCCCUGCUUUUGUGGGGUGCUCGAGUGGCGAACGGGUGAGUAACGCGUGAGUAACCUGCCCUUGACUUUGGGAUAACUUCAGGAAACUGGGGCUAAUACCGGAUAGGAGCUCCUGCUGCAUGGUGGGGGUUGGAAAGUUUCGGCGGUUGGGGAUGGACUCGCGGCUUAUCAGCUUGUUGGUGGGGUAGUGGCUUACCAAGGCUUUGACGGGUAGCCGGCCUGAGAGGGUGACCGGCCACAUUGGGACUGAGAUACGGCCCAGACUCCUACGGGAGGCAGCAGUGGGGAAUAUUGCACAAUGGGCGGAAGCCUGAUGCAGCAACGCCGCGUGCGGGAUGACGGCCUUCGGGUUGUAAACCGCUUUCGCCUGUGACGAAGCGUGAGUGACGGUAAUGGGUAAAGAAGCACCGGCUAACUACGUG